UUUUAAAGAGUUUUUUUAGUCUGUAUACAUUUGUGGGAGUAAAAAUAAACCAGUCUACUGCAAACGAUGAGGAAAAAUCCAAAUCUGCAAUGCUAUUAUCCGUGUUUUUUUAACGCACUACGGCAGUGAAACUGCAUUGUAAAUUCCCAUCCAUCUGAACCCGCCAAAUCUCUCUAGGCAUCAUGGGGUUGCUGGAGCCUGUCCCAGCUACUGUUGAGUGAAGGCAGGGUACAUUCUAGACCGGUCACCAUCCCGGUUUUGCCUGCUGUUUUACCAUAGAUCUGCAAAGACUGCUGACACUUGAAUAAAAACAAGUAUUUUUAUACAAGUGGUUUGCAGGAAUGAUCCGUUCAUUUGUUCCUUUCAUGAAGUAUACCACAAUGCAUUAACACAUACAAUACAACAUAAGUCCACACAUCUUCAUUACUGGAAAGCAACAGUGAGAAAAAUGCUUUCAUUUGAUUUCUGCCAUUAUAAUAAAGCUCAAAGGGAAAAAAAUAUCCUGGUAGAGUUGCUUGAUCUCCUGGUUCCCCAUACAUUGCAUGUCACAUCUCUGCAACCUGUUAUUUUUGUACCAGCACUGUAGGAAUAGUCAAAAGAAAUUAAAUGUACCUUUGUGUUUGCAGGAUUCAGAGACACAUACAACUUACAUCAGGAAGGCUUCAUCCAUAACAGCAGAAGUGUCACAAUGGAAAGUGCUGUUGAUAUCCCAUCAGGCGAGGAUGACACGCAUGAAAAAGAUGAUGUGAAUGCCAAGGACAGCGCUGAUCCCCCUCAUAAGAAAAACAAAAAGCACAGAAAGCACAAGAGUAAAAAGAAAAAGAGGAGGAGGAAAGGGGAGAAGGAGAGCAGCUCAGACUCUGGCGCCGAGUCAGAUGCAGAACCUCCACCUCCUCCAAGACCUGUCAGGACUACUAGAGCCAGUGCCAGAUUGGCAGCAGCUGCAGGGGCUAAAGAACCUGGUGAACAGAAGGAGGAAGGCAAAAAAGAUGCGUCUGCAGAUUGUGUUAACACAGAGGGAGAUACAAAGUCUAAAAAACACAAAAAGCAAGCUGCCAAAAAGAAGAAAAAGAAGAGAAAAAAAGAGGAAAAGCAAGAAAAGAAAUCCCCAUCUCGUUCUCCAUCUGAUAGCAGCUCAGCUUCAGGUUCCGAAUCUGACGGGGACGGAGGCAAAGUGGUCGGGGAUGGUAAACAUUCUCCUGCUGCUGCAACAGACCCCCAAGAACUGCUGUCCAAAAUUGCUCUGAAGGACAAACAUGAAGAGGAGACGGCAGCUGACAUUGUCAUGCAAAAGCCUGAAUUGCCUGAAGUAAAGAAGGAGGAGAUAACUGAUAUCGACGUGUAUUCUGUUGGAGCAAAGGAAGGCAAUGCCAUCAAAUCGGAAAUGCUUGCAAAUUCCCCCUCUGAAGGUCGCAUUGAGAUGUCACAUACUGAAAUCGUUAAAGUUGAGGUGAGUCUUGGAGAUGGGGUUUUCAGCCAUGCCCACGAGUUACCCGAUAUCAUCCCAAAACAAGAAAGCACCACUCAGAGAGAGGACCUGACCACGAAAGAUCAAACCAGUUUAGUUCAAGGAACAAAGAUGAAAGAAAACGAUGUCUCCAAGUCUCAAUCCCCUUUAAAGGGUGUAGAAAUAAAGAAGUCCGAGUCAGCUCCAAGUCGGUCGCCAUCACCGAGCUUAAGAGAACAGCAGUCUGAUGGACAGUCAGCCACUUUGGUAAAGGAACCAUCAGGAAUUCGAUCCAGGUCCCCUUCAAAAGACAGAAGGUCUUUUACUCCUCAGAAGAAUCAGCAGCUAUCCCGUUCCAAGUCUCGUUCUCCAUCUCCCACAUGCAAGAGAGAGUCUCAUUCUCCACCUCUCAAAUCUCAGAAGGGAGCCAGCCGUCGAUCGCGAUCUACCUCUCCGUCUGUCCCCUUGAAGAAAAAGGUGUCAAAGUCUCCAAGGAAGUCCAGAUCUCCUAAAAGACGCAAGAGCUCCCACUCUGUUUCACCAAAGCGGCGCAGGAGCCCUUCUCCUAAAAGAAAGGCGUCACGAUCUCCUAAGCGUGGAGGGCGCAGGUCUCCCUCUUUGUCUCGUUCUCCUCGAAGACGGCGAAAAUCUGAGUCCCGCUCUCGCACAAGGCGCUCCAGGAGCCGCACCCCCAGGCGAAGUGGUGCAGCUAGUAGGCGCUCUCUGUCACGUUCUGUCACCAAACCUCGGCGUUCCCACUCUCGGACAAGGCGGCCUGUUGCCCGCUCCAGAUCCCGAUCAGCCGCAAGGCGUGCCGGAGGAAGGCGGUCUAGAAGUCAGUCCAUGCCGAGGCGCAGGAGGUCACCCCCUCCUCGAUCCCGCCGUUCACGGUCGCGCUCAGCCCGUAGGAGUAGACGAUCUCGUUCACGUUCGAUUGUAAAGUCUAGGCGCAGCCGUCGCUCCAGAUCCCGGAGUGUCCGCAAACGAACCAAAUCCAGAACCCCUCCUUCUCGACGCCGGUCUAAGUCCCGAUCACCAAUCCGAAGGCGCUCCCGAUCCCCAGCAAGAAGAAACCGUGCCUCACCAAGAUCUGCCAAACGUUCAAAGUCACGCUCCUUAAGGCAGUCUGGCAAAAGAAGGUCCAGAUCUCCCAAAAAGAGCUCAAGGAGGUCAAAGUCUAAAUCUUUGUCAAAAGAAACAAAAAGAUCUAAAUCCAGGUCCAGAUCUGUAUCAAGUGAUGGAAGGUCUGAGAGCUCGUCCUCUGCCAGGUCCAUAUCCUGUACCCCAGUUGAAAAGAAGAGGUCUCCUCUCCCGCCUGCAGACAAGACACCAGAAAUGAAAGCAGUUGAAGAAAAUGGUGGAGUUUCAGUUACUGAAGGUGAUGUGGCACAAGGUCCGUCAGAAGUUGGCUUGGACCCUCAGGAUGUGAUUUCCUCUGACAAUUUAGAAAAUCAGUCGAGUCUUUGUCAAACCUUGCCAGCACCCAGAUCUAGAUCUCCUUCACAAGUCCCAGAAGCAGAUCCAGA
ensembl:lncRNA